rnacentral:tRNA from 1 species
AGUGGGUAGCUCAGUGGUAGAGUGCAUGCUUUGUAUUUAUGAUGUCCUGGGUUCAAUCCCCAGCCUCUC